rnacentral:misc_RNA from 1 species
UCAAUUAUCAAAACCUAAAAAAUCUGGUGGGGUAUUUCUGGAUUUUUAGUCUUUAAUUCAACAGAAGAGAAGGAAGGAGAAGAAGAGAGAGAGACCUGAAGGAGGCAUGCACACAAUUAACUUAUAUAAAACGUGGAAAACUGAAACCUAAAAAGAAGGGCACUUGAAAUGCCAGUUGCCAUGGACACUAAGGACACCGAGAUGACAGAGAGAGAUCCUUCGACGGCGGUGCCUCAGCAAGACCCCAACGAUGUCGUGAAAGAGCUGCUCACAUUGGCUCGUCAGCUCAUCAACCAGGGAAAACCUUCUCAGGCUCUGCAAGCGGUUGUCAUGGCAAUGCGUACCCAAGGUGGGGAUGAGGCUGUGUUUCAGUCACUGCACCGUGCUCGAGAGCUGUACAGAAAUAGGUUGCAAGAGCACACUGCUGUUGAUCAACUCGCUGUUCUGUUUGCUGAGUGUGCAAUUGCUGAAGUCCAGCCCUCUAAAGUGGAACCAUCACUGCUUAAUGUAGGUGGCCUGCCAUCCGAUGCUCAUGGAAAUUCUAUACUUGCAGAAACUGGCAGGACGCAAGUUGUGUUGGAUGCAUUGUCCGAUGGGAACAGCUUCAUCUGUUUACAAUGUGGAGGUCUUGUUAGUAACCAUCGCAAGGAUGAACACUAUGCCUACUGGUGUUGCCAACUCUG